ACCAGUUGUUUCAUUUAGGCGCAAUAAAUUCUCUCUACAAGGACCAGACCCCAUUGCUGCACCAAUUUGCACGGAACCAAGUGGGAAGAGAGGAUAAGAGGGACUAUUACUGAGAGGAUUCUCGAAUUAAAUUCACACCUUUUGGCUCAAGGACCAUCCUAAGCUGCUAUAUAUAUAAUUUUGUUGUGCACGUCUGUGGAUAAUGAAGCUCAAGCCAUCAACUGGUCAUUUCUAAGCAUGAUUUUAUGAGGAGGCACAGCUACACAAGUUAAGGGACCUCCAUAGUAUUAUAAAGAAUUUCCCAAAUAGACAUGCCACAUGGCUAACAACCUAGCCUACAUGAUUUCAAUCCUUGAAAUAUGUAUCUAUUAGUAAAUCAAAAUUGCUACUUCUGCAACAAGUUUUAUCAAUCAAAUGUGAAGCUUCGUAUUGGAGGUAAUAGGAAAUACGGUAGCAAUGAGCCACUACUUCUUUAAGAUAAUAAAUUUCUAGAUCAUGUAUACUUAUAUAUAUAUAUUAGUCAUCAUAAUGAUUUUUACCCGGAA